GAUGAACGCUGGCGGCGUGCCUAAUACAUGCAAGUCGAGCGAACAGACGAGGAGCUUGCUUCUCUGAUGUUAGCGGCGGACGGGUGAGUAACACGUGGAUAACCUACCUAUAAGACUGGGAUAACUUCGGGAAACCGGAGCUAAUACCGGAUAAUAUUUUGAACCGCAUGGUUCAAUAGUGAAAGACGGUCUUGCUGUCACUUAUAGAUGGAUCCGCGCCGCAUUAGCUAGUUGGUAAGGUAACGGCUUACCAAGGCAACGAUGCGUAGCCGACCUGAGAGGGUGAUCGGCCACACUGGAACUGAGACACGGUCCAGACUCCUACGGGAGGCAGCAGUAGGGAAUCUUCCGCAAUGGGCGAAAGCCUGACGGAGCAACGCCGCGUGAGUGAUGAAGGUCUUCGGAUCGUAAAACUCUGUUAUUAGGGAAGAACAAAUGUGUAAGUAACUAUGCACAUCUUGACGGUACCUAAUCAGAAAGCCACGGCUAACUACGUG
rnacentral:rRNA from 1 species